rnacentral:rRNA from 1 species
AGUGGCGAACGGGUGAGUAAUACAUCGGAACGUGUCCUGGAGUGGGGGAUAGCCCGGCGAAAGCCGGAUUAAUACCGCAUACGCUCUGUGGAGGAAAGCGGGGGAUCUUCGGACCUCGCGCUCAAGGGGCGGCCGAUGGCAGAUUAGCUAGUUGGUGGGGUAAAGGCCUUCCAAGGCGACGAUCUGUAGCUGGUCUGAGAGGACGACCAGCCACACUGGGACUGAGACACGGCCCAGACUCCUACGGGAGGCAGCAGUGGGGAAUUUUGGACAAUGGGGGCAACCCUGAUCCAGCAAUGCCGCGUGUGUGAAGAAGGCCUUCGGGUUGUAAAGCACUUUUGUCCGGAAAGAAAACCUCUGGGUUAAUACCCUGGGGGGAUGACGGUACCGGAAGAAUAAGCACCGGCUAACUACGUGCCAGCAGCCGCGGUAAUACGUAGGGUGCGAGCGUUAAUCGGAAUUACUGGGCGUAAAGAGUGUGUAGGCGGUGCUCUAAGUUCGGCGUGAAAUCUCCCGGCUUAACUGGGAGGGUGCGCCGGA